rnacentral:rRNA from 1 species
AAUAGUUUUUUAAAUGGAAACUGGGAUGAAAGAAGUGAUGAGGCUUAUACUGUCUUAAGUUAAAUAAUUGAAUUUAUUUAUUAAGUAAAAAUACUUAAAUAUAAAUAUGGGACGAGAAGACCCUAUAGAAUUUUAUAUAGAGUUAUUAGAGGAGUUUAGUUAAAUAUUAAUAAGUUUAUAUUUUAUUGGGAGGAUAGUUAAAUUAUAAAAACUUUAAUAGUAUUUAGACAUUAAUGUAUGAGUAUAAAAAUUAAGGAAUGGCUAAUAGGUUUGAGUAGAAUUAAUUACCUUAGGGAUAACAGCGUAAUAUUUUUAGAGAGAUCUUAUUAAUAAAAAUGAUUGC